GGGGGGGGGGGGUUAAUUAAAUCCCGUGAUUUUAUGAUAUACUCCGUACGAUGUAUGAUCGAGCUCGUUUGGAAGUUUCCACUGUGACAGUCAAGUAAGCACAUCGGCACACAUUAAUUAUUGGCACUAUGCGUACACUUGUACAAUGGACGUUUCUUAGUAGCUUCCAAGCUUGUGACAAGUAAGCAAGCUCAUACGUCUGCAGUGUUGUUUCUUCUUGUACAUAUAUGAAUAUGAAUAGCUCGAUCUCGAUCCCCCGUUCUUGUUUUUUUUUCCUUUUGCUACUACUUCGGAUGCUUUGCAUGCAUGCAUUAGAAACAGGUACAACCACUAACCAAUUAACAAGUACUAAUGAUUCCCUUGACAAUCAGUACUAAUUCUAUGAGUUCUCAGAGAGGAGGACACAGCACAUAUGAACACAAAGCUUUUGAGUCACACACACACACACACUGCUUGGGACUUCGACAGGUACUAGUUAAUAGCAUGUUAAUUCCCCCAGUCAGUACUUCCCUGCACAAAUGUAUGAGCUUUAUAUUAUCUACUAACUGUACCCAGCCAAUGGGCUUACUGCACUGACGACAGCAUGCACCUGAUUGACGCAGAGAUAUAUUCCUCAUCAUAUCUUAUACAGUUGAGACGGCGCAGAGCUCACUCAUAUUCUUUAGUUAUAUGUGUACACAUUUCAUUCUAUUUCCUUGCUAAAGGGGGGACAUGCCCAAGAAAGACACACAUGCAUGCAUGCACUUUGAGCUUGUUUAGUAUAUAUGCUUGCAGCUUCAGUAUUCUCUUGCCAGCACCUGCUAGCUGUAUUUUCUUUGUGCAUCCCAAUAGUAUAGUUCUCCUGCCAGGGGUAUAUAGGGUGUUCUAACAUGCAUGUACUGGCUAAUUCAAGAUGUAUUUUAGUGAUCAAAUGAUCCACAAUAUUUCUUAUCCAUGUCCUCAUUACUGAUAAUUAUUCAGCCAUAUUUACAAAGUAUUUAUCCAGAGGGCCGUAUUGACAGUAACCAGUAAAAAAAUAACUUUAUUUAUUUAUUUACUUACCUGAGAGCACCAUAACCUGACAAUUAACAGUAACUAGUGGAAGAUUUGCUCCCGGCCUCGCUCUGCACCAACUAAAGAUGCACACAAUCGUCGUACAUAAUAAUGAGAGCGGUGACCACCGAUCUCGAGGGAUCGACAUGGUUGAUCUUUUGAUGCUAAUGUGUGGUGCUCAUGUCGUGUAUAGUGAAACCAUGUGUAACCACUAACCACAACAAAGGGAAACAUAUGAUCCAGGGAGGUGAAUGAAUGGGAGGGCAGGAUCGAUGCGUCAAGAACUACAGUAGCUCUCAUCAUCGGUGGAUGAAUUGAGUGGACCAAUGAACGCAGAAGUAGGGGGUAUACGUAGUACAUUGCUAUUAUUGUGCCAAUGGAAGGGGACCAAUAUAGUGCAGGCUCAACAGAGAGGGAUGGCCGAUGGACGACAAGCCUUGCAGCUUGCAGGACGGUGGUACAACUGUACUGCCUGAUCAAAGAAAAAUCGUCUACCUCUCCUUCCUUUCCCUCUACGGAGACACUUCCAUCCGUCCAUCUUCAUUGUGUCAAGUGGGAGGCGGCGAAGAGACAACAACAUGAGUGACAAACUGGACCUAUUUAAGUAGGAGGUGUGCUGUUGCAGAGGCAACAGAUACAUCAUACAUAUAUAUGAUGGUGAUGGGAGGGAGCCCAGACCUAAUAUGGUCAGCGUUGUUGUCGACAUGAAGACCGUGGUGUGUGUAGAGAAGACGUGGAGUGGGAGUAUGUCUAGAGCUAGAGUGCUUAGAAUGAUGGUCGUAUUCGCUACCAAAGGCGGAGAAGAGGAGUUGUGGACGAUGUCAAGAGAUCCGAUUAAAAGGUGGAAUGCUAGGAGAUGGAGGAAGAGCCAUCACUAGAGUAGGGAUUUGCUAGAGGCGGCUAGUCCUUAUUGCUCUAGCGAAGCAAACACGACAAGGGGGGGGUGCACCGAUGGGGAGGGAUUUGGGUAUCGGUCGGACUAGAGAGAGGAAGAGGUAUAUUUAGUAAGAGGGGGUUGAUUUUAGCCAUUGCUUCAAAAUAUCUAGGUUUGUCCCGAGUCAAACUUCCUUGGGUUGAGGUUUGUCCGGUGUCAAACUUCUUUAGGUUGUUGUUGUGUAUGUUAGUAUUUUUUUUCAAUAACACAUAAUUAGUUUCAUUAGAUUUAUCA